rnacentral:rRNA from 1 species
GGCGCACGGGUGCGUAACACGUAUGCAACCUACCUUACAUGGGGGGAUAGCCUUUCGAAAGGGAGAUUAAUACCGCAUAAGACAGUAGCUGGGCAUCCAGCAGCUGUUAAAGAUUUAUCGAUGUAAGAUGGGCAUGCGUCCAAUUAGUUAGUGGGCGAGGUAACGGGGCACCAAGACUUUGAUUGGUAGGGGAACUGAGAGGUCAAUCCCCCACACUGGCACUGAGAUACGGGCCAGACUCCUACGGGAGGCAGCAGUAGGGAAUAUUGGGCAAUGGACGCAAGUCUGACCCAGCCAUGCCGCGUGCAGGAUGAAGGCGUUAUGCGUUGUAAACUGCUUUUAUACAGGAAGAAACGACUCUUGCGAGAGGCAUUGACGGUACUGUAUGAAUAAGCACCGGCUAACUCCGUGCCAGCAGCCGCGGUAAUACGGAGGGUGCAAGCGUUGUCCGGAUUUAUUGGGUUUAAAGGGUGCGCAGGUGGUUUAUUAAGUCAGUGGUGAAAGACGGUCGCUCAACGAUUGCAGUGCCAUUGAAACUGGUAGACUUGAGUAAAGUAGAGGUGGGCGGAAUUGAUAGUGUAGCGGUGAAAUGCAUAGAUAUUAUCAAGAACUCCAAUUGCGUAGGCAGCUCACUUGGCUUUUACUGACACUCAUGCACGAAAGUGUGGGUAUCAAACAGGAUUAGAUACCCUGGUAGUCCACACUGUAAACGAUGAUAACUAGGUGUCGGCCGAAUCUGGUCGGUGCCACAGCGAAAGCGUUAAG